GCGCGCACGCUCAGUUAAAACCGAAAAUAUGUGACGCUGCGGGUUUUUUUCGCCACAGGACUUCAGAUUAACGAAGAUAUUAUACCUUUUGUCUGCUUUAUCAGUUACUAUGAGAUACCUAAAGCACACAGUAUAUGAAAACUUCGAUUUAUUGGCUUGGUAUUUGUUUGGUAUGUCAAGCAUUUGACGCAUGCGUAUCCAGGAAUACGGUAUUUCUGCAUAACUAAUGACAAAUAUGACCAAACCAACCAAACCACAAGGAAGAGUUGUUAACAGACAGUGAAUGAGGCAUGAUGCAACAGUCGAUCUCACCCGUUUGACAUACUUUGGACUGUAAAAUGAAAAAUAAAAGUGUUGAACUUGG